UUGUCUGUGUAUUUAUAUAUUGACUGUCUUGCUCCAUGAGAGUAUUGACCCCGUAGAAGCAUACUUUGUCUCCCGUGGGCUUGGCUCAGAAAAGACAUCUCAUAAAUAUUCACGAAGUGAUCAUUAAGCUCAGCUGAGGCCUUCUGUGUACCUGUCCUUGGUGAGGCGCUGUAUUGGAAACUUGGGACACAAGCUAGAAUGAGACAAGGUGAGUCCCAGCAUGGAGGGAGCGAGAGACAAGCUGUGGCAGCAGACAUCAGCUGAGUGUGACACAGAUUUCUUGUUUUCGAGACAGGGUUUCUCUGUGUAGCCCUGGCUGUCCCAGAACUCACUCUGUAGACCAGGCUGGCCUUGAACUCAGAAAUCGCCUGCCUCUGCCUCCCAAGCGUUGGGAUUAAAGGCGUGCACCAUUAUAAAAUACCACAUAUUCAAACUCAACCUCAGACCCUGGAUCCUGCUGUAAUUUCGUGAAGCACAGAGAAGUGAAGUCAUUCAUUUGAGGUCACACAGCUAGAAAAUAAAGCAGCCAGGAUUGGAGUCCUAGUUUCCCAGCUCCUACCACCUCCUUGGGGAUAAUCGGCCUACGCAAGAGAUGGAGUGACUCCAGGCCUGGCCACUCCUUUGGCUGCACAUCAGUAAGAAGACCCUUUGCAAAUCGACUGGUGAAGACAUUCCCAGAUUGCUGAGCCCCAGAAACGGAAACCCUCCAUGAAGAAUGGGUGGAAUCAGUUGUCCAUGGCCCAGCCCUCCUCCUGGUGGAUGGUGGAUGAAAAAGGUAAAUGUCUGCUCUGAGAAGCAAACAACUAGAUUCGCACACUCAUAGAAGGAAGCCAUCGAGAGUGAAGAUGCAGGAGAAGAUGGUGUAUGCCUAAACAAGGAUUGCUCUGUGUCCUCAUAGAUGAAUGAGGUCCUGCUGGGAAUGCCUUCUGCAGGAUCUGGCCUGACUGAUAUGCAGUUCUAUAAAUGUACAUGUUUGUCUCAUUUUUUGUAUAGUUUACUAAUGUAUUAAUAUAGUUUUAAGAAGUAAAUAUUUUUAGGUUG